CGCGUAGGUGGUUUGGUCAGUCAGAUGUGAAAGCCCUGGGCUUAACCUGGGAAUUGCAUUUGAUACUGCCAGACUAGAGUAUGGUAGAGGGAAGUGGAAUUCCGGGUGUAGCGGUGAAAUGCGUAGAUAUCCGGAGGAACAUCAGUGGCGAAGGCGGCUUCCUGGACCAAUACUGACACUGAGGUGCGAAAGCGUGGGUAGCGAACA
rnacentral:rRNA from 1 species